rnacentral:rRNA from 1 species
GACGAACCGUGCAACCGUUGUUCGGAAUCACUGGGCUUAAAGGGCGCGUAGGCGGGCAAGCAAGUCGAAGGUGAAAUCCCACGGCUCAACCGUGGAAGUGCCCCCGAUACUGCUUGUCUUGAGGGAGAUAGGGGCGUGCGGAACUUCCGGUGGAGCGGUGAAAUGCGUAGAUAUCGGAAGGAACACCGGUGGCGAAAGCGGCGCGCUGGAUCUCUUCUGACGCUGAGGCGCGAAAGCCAGGGGAGCAAACGGG